rnacentral:rRNA from 1 species
CCCUGUGGAACUUCAAAACCAGCGGCCACCCCAAAAUACAUAACCCCCCACUGGGCUCACUUAUUCACUAAGCCACUGGCCCGCGUUUUUCGGUUGGGGCGACCUUGGAGAAAAACAAAUCCUCCAAAAAUUAGACCAUCCCUCUAGACUGAGAGCAACCCCUCAACGUGCUAAUAGCAACCAGACCCAAUAUAAUUGAUCCAUGGACCAAGCUACCCCAGGGAUAACAGCGCAAUCUCCCCCGAGAGUCCGUAUCGACGGGGAGGUUUACGACCUCGAUGUUGGAUCAGGACAUCCUAGUGGUGCAGCCGCUACUAAGGGUUCGUUUGUUCAACGAUUAACAGUCCUACGUGAUCUGAGUUCAGACCGGAGCAAUCCAGGUCGGUUUCUAUCUAUGA